UAGCGUUGUGUAGUGUUUGCAGUUUCCACAAGGCCGCGGUCAUAUUUGCUGGGGUGGCUUGUACGUUUCGGUAUGUGCAGUGAAGCGUGUGUCACAGUUUUAUAGACAGAAAACUCUACCAUGCCAGGCUGCUGCGUACCUUUGUGCACCAGCGCAACAGAGAAAGGUCAUAUAGGUGUCUUCGGUUUCCCCGUGACUCGGAACGCAGAAAAAAAGUAGGAAAUUCAAGGGAAACGCGACUGUUGGAAAGCCACGGAAAAUUGAAGAAUUUUCGAGCUCGAGGGGAGGCGGCAAGAUGGUCGUCGGCUUCUUAAAUGAAGCUCUCUGCCUACACUCUUCGACUUCAGGCCGGCACCCACGCAAAGAAAGAAGCCAGCAUUUCGACUUCCCUUAGCUGGUGUUAAAAUUCAAGCCACGCAGGCAGCCGUCGAAGAAGAGGAAGGAGCAGUUAUGCAGGACGGCCGGCGGGAGACCGCGGACCGUGGCGGCGAGGAGCACCGCUGCGGCGCGAAGCCCGAGAAGAAGAGGGCCGCAGUGACGCCACUGGUCGGUCUGCGCGAGUCCAGCCGAGGCGCCGUCGGCAUAGACCUGAGGCAGGCCG